AGAGAUGUGUGCUGCACACAUCCUUUCUCCGCCUAGCUUGGUUUUCACUCUUGGUGGUCGCAGACAUCUUGGGGGCUACUUGAAGGAACUCUAAGCCGACCAGAGGCUGGGCUGGACUCGCCGUUUGGCGCCCAGCCGGAGACCCCAGGGCCACCCUCCCCGGUUCCAUCCUGGGAGAGAAGAAACUUCCACUGUCCCAGUCUCUCCUGUGGUGACUUCUUUUGCUCAAGGGUUCACAAGGGCAGCAGACUGAUCUGCACAAGAGGGACUGAGCCUGGCUGCGGCCGCACCUGAUGCCUGUGCACACCUGUCCCUGGUGGUCUCUCCUGUGGUGACUUCUUUUGCUCAAGGGUUCACAAGGGCAGCAGACUGAUCUGCACAAGAGGGACUGAGCCUGGCUGCGGCCGCACCUGAUGCCUGUGCACACCUGUCCCUGGUGCAGGCCCUUCCCCCGCAGCCCCGUGACCUUGUCCUGUGAGGCUCACGGUGCCUGCUCCUUCUCAGAGUCCUCAUUUCUCCCUUUAACGCACGCCCUGUCAGCGCCUCCGUCUAGCCCGUGUCCUCCAGACCUUCGAGGUCAGGGGCCUCAAUUCCUGGCACAGCCCCUCCACUCCAGGCCUCCCAGAAACAGACUAGAGCAUCAGGAUGUGCGCCGCCUGGGGUCCCACAGAGUGGUGCCCCCUUUUAGUGUCUUCUAGGCCCCUUAGUGACAGACUACAGAAAAUACCUCUCAGGUCACAGGUCACCCCUCUUUGGUGAAGAGUCCAUAGAAUUCUCUGCUGCGCUUUGCAAGCACUUUCUCUUCUGCACGUUUGGAACCUACCCCGGCCUGUCGUGUCUUUCUCCUGGCCUCCUCGCGAGCCGAACCUACUGUCCGGUCCCGGGACCCCCUGCCCAGGGUCAGAGGGGCGCCUACCUAGCUCACGGUCUUGGGCCGGAGGGAAUGGAGGAGGGAGCGGGGUCGACCGCUCAGCUGUCCGCCCAGUUUCGGAGGCGGCCACGCGAGGAUCAACUGUGCAACGGGUGGGG
rnacentral:lncRNA from 1 species